GAUGAACGCUGGCGGCGUGCUUAACACAUGCAAGUCGAACGGAGUGGCGAACGGGUGAGUAACACGUGGGUGAUCUCCCCUGUACUUCGGGAUAAUCUUGGGAACUUGGGUCUAAUACCGGUUAUUAGGGGUUGAGCUCGCGGCCUAUCAGCUUGUUGGUGGGGUAAUGGCCUACCAAGGCGUCGACGGGUAGCCGGCCUGAGAGGGUGUCCGGCCACAGUGGGACUGAGAUACGGCCCAGACUCCGACGGGAGGCAGCAGUGGGGAAUAUUGCACAAUGGGCGAAAGCCUGAUGCAGCGACGCCGCGUGGGGGAUGAAGGCCUUCGGGUUGUAAACUGCUUUCGGUAGGGACGCGGUAGCUGGAGAAGAAGCACCGGCUAACUACGUGCCAGCAGCCGCGGUAAUAC
rnacentral:rRNA from 1 species